rnacentral:rRNA from 1 species
GAGUUUGAUCCUGGCUCAGGAUGAACGCUGGCGGCGUGCCUAAUACAUGCAAGUCGAGCGAACGGACGAGAAGCUUGCUUCUCUGAUGUUAGCGGCGGACGGGUGAGUAACACGUGGAUAACCUACCUAUAAGACUGGGAUAACUUCGGGAAACCGUAGCUAAUACCGGAUAAUAUUUUGAACCGCAUGGUUCAAAAGUGAAAGACGGUCUUGCUGUCACUUAUAGAUGGAUCCGCGCUGCAUUAGCUAGUUGGUAAGGUAACGGCUUACCAAGGCAACGAUGCAUAGCCGACCUGAGAGGGUGAUCGGCCACACUGGAACUGAGACACGGUCCAGACUCCUACGGGAGGCAGCAGUAGGGAAUCUUCCGCAAUGGGCGAAAGCCUGACGGAGCAACGCCGCGUGAGUGAUGAAGGUCUUCGGAUCGUAAAACUCUGUUAUUAGGGAAGAACAUAUGUGUAAGUAACUGUGCACAUCUUGACGGUACCUAAUCAGAAAGCCACGGCUAACUACGUGCCAGCAGCCGCGGUAAUACGUAGGUGGCAAGCGUUAUCCGGAAUUAUUGGGCGUAAAGCGCGCGUAGGCGGUUUUUUAAGUCUGAUGUGAAAGCCCACGGCUCAACCGUGGAGGGUCAUUGGAAACUGGAAAACUUGAGUGCAGAAGAGGAAAGUGGAAUUCCAUGUGUAGCGGUGAAAUGCGCAGAGAUAUGGAGGAACACCAGUGGCGAAGGCGACUUUCUGGUCUGUAACUGACGCUGAUGUGCGAAAGCGUGGGGAUCAAACAGGAUUAGAUACCCUGGUAGUCCACGCCGUAAACGAUGAGUGCUAAGUGUUAGGGGGUUUCCGCCCCUUAGUGCUGCAGCUAACGCAUUAAGCACUCCGCCUGGGGAGUACGACCGCAAGGUUGAAACUCAAAGGAAUUGACGGGGACCCGCACAAGCGGUGGAGCAUGUGGUUUAAUUCGAAGCAACGCGAAGAACCUUACCAAAUCUUGACAUCCUUUGACAACUCUAGAGAUAGAGCCUUCCCUUCGGGGGACAAAGUGACAGGUGGUGCAUGGUUGUCGUCAGCUCGUGUCGUGAGAUGUUGGGUUAAGUCCCGCAACGAGCGCAACCCUUAAGCUUAGUUGCCAUCAUUAAGUUGGGCACUCUAAGUUGACUGCCGGUGACAAACCGGAGGAAGGUGGGGAUGACGUCAAAUCAUCAUGCCCCUUAUGAUUUGGGCUACACACGUGCUACAAUGGACAAUACAAAGGGCAGCGAAACCGCGAGGUCAAGCAAAUCCCAUAAAGUUGUUCUCAGUUCGGAUUGUAGUCUGCAACUCGACUACAUGAAGCUGGAAUCGCUAGUAAUCGUAGAUCAGCAUGCUACGGUGAAUACGUUCCCGGGUCUUGUACACACCGCCCGUCACACCACGAGAGUUUGUAACACCCGAAGCCGGUGGAGUAACCUUUUAGGAGCUAGCCGUCGAAGGUGGGACAAAUGAUUGGGGUGAAGUCGUAACAAGGUAGCCGUAUCGGAAGGUGCGGCUGGAUCACC